GACGAACGCUGGCGGCGUGCUUAACACAUGCAAGUCGAACGGAAAGGCCCUGCUUUUGUGGGGUGCUCGAGUGGCGAACGGGUGAGUAACACGUGAGUAACCUGCCCUUGACUUUGGGAUAACUUCAGGAAACUGGGGCUAAUACCGUAUAGGAGCUCCUGCUGCAUGGUGGGGGUUGGAAAGUUUCGGCGGUUGGGGAUGGACUCGCGGCUUAUCAGCUUGUUGGUGGGGUAGUGGCUUACCAAGGCUUUGACGGGUAGCCGGCCUGAGAGGGUGACCGGCCACAUUGGGACUGAGAUACGGACCAGACUCCUACGGGAGGCAGCAGUGGGGAAUAUUGCACAAUGGGAGGAAGCCUGAUGCAGCAACGCCGCGUGCGGGAUGACGGCCUUCGGGUUGUAAACCGCUUUCGCCUGUGACGAAGCGUGAGUGACGGUAAUGGGUAAAGAAGCACCGGCUAACUACGUG
rnacentral:rRNA from 1 species